rnacentral:rRNA from 2 species
UCGAAGGUAGCAUAAUCAGUAGUCUCUUAAUUGGAGGCUGGUAUGAAUGGUUGGACGAAAUAUUAACUGUUUCAUAUAAAUUUUUUAUAGAAUUUUAUUUUUUAGUUAAAAAGCUAAAAUUUUAUUAAAAGACGAGAAGACCCUAUAAAUCUUAAUAUUUUUGAAAUUUUAAUUAUAAAGAUUUAUUUAAUUAUAAUUUUUAAAAAUAUUUUAUUGGGGUGAUAUUAAAAUUUAAUAAACUUUUAAUUUUUAAAUACAUUAAUUUAUGAAUAUUUGAUCCAUUAUUAUUGAUUAAAAAUUUAAGUUACUUUAGGGAUAACAGCGUAAUUUUUUUGGAGAGUUCAUAUCGAUAAAAAAGAUUGCGACCUCGAUGUUGGAUUAA